UACGUAGGGGGCUAGCGUUGUCCGGAAUCACUGGGCUUAAAGGGCGCGUAGGCGGGCCGGACGGUCCGCGGUGAAAUCCCCCCGCUCAACGGGGGAACGGCCGCGGAUACCGCCGGCCUCGAGGGGGGUAGGGGCGAGCGGAACGCUGGGUGGAGCGGUGAAAUGCGCAGAUAUCGGGAGGAACACCGGUGGCGAAGGCGGUUCUCUGGGCCUUACCUGACGCUGAGGAGCGAAAGCGUGGGGAGCGAACAGG
rnacentral:rRNA from 1 species